rnacentral:rRNA from 1 species
CCUACGGGAGGCAGCAGUGGGGAAUAUUGGGCAAUGGGCGCAAGCCUGACCCAGCAACGCCGCGUGAAGGAAGAAGGCUUUCGGGUUGUAAACUUCUUUUUUCAGGGAAGAGUAGAAGACGGUACCUGACGAAUAAGCCACGGCUAACUACGUGCCAGCAGCCGCGGUAAUACGUAGGUGGCAGGCGUUGUCCGGAUUUACUGGGUGUAAAGGGCGUGUAGCCGGGUUGACAAGUCAGAUGUGAAAUCCUGCGGCUGAACCGCAGAACUGCAGUUGAAACUGUUGAUCUUGAGUACUGGAGAGGAAGAUGGAAUUCCUAGUGUAGCGGUGAAAUGCGUAGAUAUUAGGAGGAACACCAGUGGCGAAGGCGGUCUGCUGGACAGCAACUGACGGUGAGGCGCGAAAGCGUGGGGAGCAAACAGGAUUAGAUACCCCAGUAGUC